GCUCAAAUAGUUUAUUUAAAAUUUUAAUUUGUGGUAUUAAAGAUGUGAUUUCACUUUGGGCA
rnacentral:tRNA from 1 species